GACAGAGGGUGCAAACGUUGUUCGGAAUUACUGGGCGUAAAGGGCGCGUAGGCGGCGUGUCAAGUCAGGCGUGAAAGCCCCGGGCUCAACCUGGGAACCGCGCUUGAGACUGGCAUGCUCGAGUUCGGGAGAGGAUGGUGGUAAUUCCCAGUGUAGAGGUGAAAUUCGUAGAUAUUGGGAAGAACACCGAUGGCGAAGGCGAGCCAUCUGGACCGACACUGACGCUGAG
rnacentral:rRNA from 1 species